rnacentral:rRNA from 1 species
GGGACUGAGACACGGCCCAGACUCCUACGGGAGGCAGCAGUAGGGAAUUUUCGGCAAUGGGGGAAACCCUGACCGAGCAACGCCGCGUGAAGGAAGAAGUAAUUCGUUAUGUAAACUUCUGUCAUAGAGGAAGAACGGUGGAUAUAGGGAAUGAUAUCCAAGUGACGGUACUCUAUAAGAAAGCCACGGCUAACUACGUGCCAGCAGCCGCGGUAAUACGUAGGUGGCGAGCGUUAUCCGGAAUUAUUGGGCGUAAAGAGGGAGCAGGCGGCACUAAGGGUCUGUGGUGAAAGAUCGAAGCUUAACUUCGGUAAGCCAUGGAAACCGUAGAGCUAGAGUGUGUGAGAGGAUCGUGGAAUUCCAUGUGUAGCGGUGAANNNNNNNNNNCCAUGUGUAGCGGUGAAAUGCGUAGAUAUAUGGAGGAACACCAGUGGCGAAGGCGACGAUCUGGCGCAUAACUGACGCUCAGUCCCGAAAGCGUGGGGAGCAAAUAGGAUUAGAUACCCUAGUAGUCCACGCCGUAAACGAUGAGUACUAAGUGUUGGGAGUCAAAUCUCAGUGCUGCAGUUAACGCAAUAAGUACUCCGCCUGAGUAGUACGUUCGCAAGAAUGAAACUCAAAG